rnacentral:rRNA from 1 species
UCAUUUAAAGAGUGCGUAAUAGCUCACUAGUCGAGUGACACUGCGCCGAAAAUGUACCGGGGCUAAACAUAUUACCGAAGCUGUGGAUUGUCCUUUGGACAAUGGUAGGAGAGCGUUCUAAGGGCGUUGAAGCAUGAUCGCAAGGACAUGUGGAGCGCUUAGAAGUGAGAAUGCCGGUGUGAGUAGCGAAAGACGGGUGAGAAUCCCGUCCACCGAUUGACUAAGGUUUCCAGAGGAAGGCUCGUCCGCUCUGGGUUAGUCGGGUCCUAAGCUGAGGCCGACAGGCGUAGGCGAUGGAUAACAGGUUGAUAUUCCUGUACCACCUAUA